rnacentral:rRNA from 1 species
GACGAAGCGCAAGUGACGGUACCUGCAGAAGAAGCACCGGCUAACUACGUGCCAGCAGCCGCGGUAAUACGUAGGGUGCGAGCGUUGUCCGGAAUUACUGGGCGUAAAGAGCUCGUAGGCGGUUUGUCAAGUCGUAUGUGAAAUCCCCCGGCUCAACCGGGGGCGUGCAGGCGAUACGGGCAGACUUGAGUACGGCAGAGGAGACUGGAAUUCCUGGUGUAGCGGUGAAAUGCGCAGAUAUCAGGAGGAACACCGGUGGCGAAGGCGGGUCUCUGGGUAGUAACUGACGCUGAGGAGCGAAAGCGUGGGUAGCGAACAGGAUUAGAUACCCUGGUAGUCCACGCCGUAAACGGUGGGCGCUAGGUGUG